rnacentral:sRNA from 1 species
CCGAGCUGUUCGCCAAGCGCGCCUACCGCGAGCUGCGCCUGCUCAAGCACAUGCGCCACGAGAACGUGAUCGGGCUGCUGGACGUAUUCACUCCUGAUGAGACCCUGGAUGACUUCACGGACUUGACCUGAAGCCCGGCAACCUGGCUGUGAACGAAGACUGUGAGCUGAAGAUCCUGGACUUCGGCCUGGCCAGGCAGGCAGACAGUGAGAUGACUGGGUACGUGGUGACCCGGUGGUACCGGGCUCCCGAGGUCAUCUUGAAUUGGAUGCGCUACACGCAGACGGUGGACAUCUGGUCUGUGGGCUGCAUCAUGGCGGAGAUGAUCACAGGCAAGACGCUGUUCAAGGGCAGCGACCACCUGGACCAGCUGAAGGAGAUCAUGAAGGUGACGGGGACGCCUCCGGCUGAGUUUGUGCAGCGGCUGCAGAGCGAUGAGGCCAAGAACUACAUGAAGGGCCUCCCCGAAUUGGAGAAGAAGGAUUUUGCCUCUAUCCUGACCAAUGCAAGCCCUCUGGCUGUGAACCUCCUGGAGAAGAUGCUGGUGCUGGACGCGGAGCAGCGGGUGACAGCAGCCGAGGCGCUGGCCCAUCCCUACUUCGAGUCCCUGCACGACACGGAAGAUGAGCCCCAGGUCCAGAAGUAUGAUGACUCCUUUGACGACGUGGACCGCACACUGGAUGAAUGGAAGCGUGAGUGGGGGGCUCCUGGCACGGCCUGUGUGGACCCAAGUGGGGGGCUCUGGGCAGGGCCUGUGUGAACCCGUGAGUUGGGGGCUCCGGGUAGGGCCUGUGUGGACCCGUGAGUUGGGGGCUCCGGGUAGGGCCUGUGUGGACCCGGUGGGCCCUGUGCAGGUGGCCAGGCUCAGAGUCCUAGAUCCCCAUCCCUGGGAUGCAGGUCAGGUGAGGAGGACGGGAGGUCAGGGCAGCAUGGGGCCGUGUGGCCUGGUGGAGAUGACCUCUGGCUGGAGCUGGAAGAUGAAGGGAAGGGUGUUCCUGGCAGGCUCAGCACAGAGGCUGGCACAGAAGGAGCCGGGAGUGGUGAAAGGCAGCUGUGAGUCAGGGAACCAGGGCCCACUUAGCCCCUCCUGGCCCCCAGACCUGCUGCCCUUCCGUCAUGUCCAGGCCAGAGACCUGGGCCACCCUGACACCCUCACCACGUCCGCUUGUCCCUAAGGCCUCUCUGCUCACACCUCCUGAAUCUGUCCUUGCCUCUCCUUGCCCCAUUUUUGUUUUUUGAGACGGAGUCUCACUCUGAUGCCCAGGCUGGAGGGCAGUGGCACGAUCUUGACUCACUGCAAGCUCCGUCUCCUGGGUACACACCGUUCUCCUGCCUCAGCCUCCCGAGUAGCAGGGACUACAGGCGCCUGCCACCACGCCUGGCUAAUUUUUUGUGUUUUUAGUAGAGACGGGGUUUCACCGUGUUAGCCAGGAUGGUCUUGAUCUCCUGACCUCGUGAUCCACCUGCCUUGGCCUCCCAAAGUGCUGGGAUUACAGGCAUGAGCCACCACGCCCAGCCCUCUCCUUGCCCCACUUUAGGAUCCCUCCCCCCUGGACAACUGUAUACCCAAGACAGUCCCCAGGGCCUCGCCUGUCUCCCCCAGCCCCCGCUAAGCGGUCCAGACCCCAACCCCAACUGCUGGGGUCCAUCAUCCCCUAUACCAGGGGCUAUCCCCUCAACUUGGAGGGCUGGCCAAAGCCUGUGCAGCCUCAGGCUGGACUCAGAGAAGCCUCCCCAGCUCCCACAGCUAUGCUGUGGCCUGAGGCUGUGCUGGACCUGGCUUCAUUUCUGCUCCAGGAUGGCAGGCUGUGUCUUCUUCAUGGCUGCAUGACCAGCCUGGGGUGGGUGUGCCCGGGGAAAGUAGGUGUACACUGGGAGCCGUGCCAUGUUUCAGGCCCUGUCCUGGCUCUGCCUCGGGUGCAGGACCUUGGUCCUCCACACUGGCUGGGUGGGGCUGGAUGGGUUGAGAUUCACCUGUGCUCCUUAGGACCACGGGUCCCUGGGUGCCCGCAGCAGGGCCUCCACCCUUCGCUGUGUGCAUAUUCGUGUGCUUAUGAGUUUGGCUGUGUUUGAUUAAAGGUUUCUGCUGCUAGAAAGAUAA